rnacentral:lncRNA from 1 species
GGCUGUAAUAGCCAAAUUCACUAAUUUGAAGACGUGUCCACAUACUUAUGUAUAUAUAGUGUAUUUUCUACAGAUGGUCAUACUAUCAACAAACUGUUGUUAAUAAACUGCUUGCUAGGGUUAGAAAAAGGCUUUGGUUUAGGUUUAGAAUAAGGCUUUAGUUUAGGUUUAGAAUAAGGCUUUAGUUUAGGUUUAGAAUAAGGCUUUAGUUUAGAAUAAGGCUUUAGUUUAGAAUAAGGCUUUGGUUUAGGUUUAGAUUGAAGACAUUUAUUCACUUCUCAACUGUUUUAUUUGAUGUUUGUAUUGAUUGUUUCAUUACAAUAUUUAAAGCUUAUACUAGCAUCUACAUCUCUACAGUUGAUGAAUUAUGCCUAGCUCUGUGUGUGUGUGUGUGUGUGUGUGUGUGUGUGUGUGUGUGUGUGUGUGUGUGUGUGUGUGUGUGUGUGUGUGUGUGUGUGUGUGUGUGGGGGGGGGGGUGUGUGUGUGUGUGUGUGUGUGUGUGUGUGUGUGUGUGUGGGUGUG